rnacentral:rRNA from 1 species
CCGUAUCGACCCGGUCAGUAUCGAAGCAAACGCGUUAAGUGUCCCGCCUGGGGAGUACGCACGCAAGUGUGAAACUCAAAGGAAUUGACGGGGGCCCGCACAAGCGGUGGAGUAUGUGGUUUAAUUCGAUGCAACGCGAAGAACCUUACCAGGGAUUGACAUCCUACGAAUCUUCUUGAAAGGGAAGAGUGCCUUCGGGAACGUAGAGACAGGUGGUGCAUGGCUGUCGUCAGCUCGUGUCGUGAGAUGUUGGGUUAAGUCCCGCAACGAGCGCAACCCUCGUCCUUAGUUGCCAUCAUUAAGUUGGGCACUUUAAGGAGACUGCCGGUGACAAACCGGAGGAAGGUGGGGAUGACGUCAAGUCAUCAUGCCCCUUACAUCCUGGGCUACACACGUACUACAAUGCAACGGACAAAGGGCAGCCAACUAGCGAUAGUGCGCAAAUCCCAUAAACCGUUGCUCAGUUCAGAUUGCAGGCUGCAACUCGCCUGCAUGAAGGCGGAAUCGCUAGUAAUCGCAGGUCAGCAUACUGCGGUGAAUACGUUCCCGGGCCUUGUACACACCGCCCGUCACACCAUGGAAGUUGGCCACGCCCGAAGUCGUUACCCCAACCGUUUACGGAGGGGGACGCCGAAGGCAGGGCUGAUGACUGGGGUGAAGUCGUAACAAGGUAACC